CAAAAUUCACGUGGUUACGCAGAAGACCUAGAAUAGCCAAAACAACUCUACGAAGAACAAAGUUGGAGACUUAACAGUUUUCAAACCCCUCAUCCCAACUGUCAGGUACCAACUGCCAUUUUGCAAGGAUCCCCAGGGCAGUUGGACCUGGAAGCUGAGUUCCCUGUCCUUCCCUGGUUGGUGAUCUUCAAGGUCCCAGUGCUGUGCAAGAGUCAGGGGUUCAGAGUUCAGAGCCCCAUCACCCAUCAGUGAUUAGGCGGCAUUGCCCCUCUCCCCCAUAUCUUCCUCACCCAAGUGUGAUGAUUCCAACACACCUGCUCCCAAAAGAAAGGCUGGUUUGUUUGUUCCAUUGGAAACAACCAGGCUUUGAUUAGGAGACAAGUGGCCUGAGGUAUGACAGUGGGAGGGCAAGGAGCUCUAGUUGUAUCCAUCUGUGGUGAGUGUGGUGGCUCUGAAGAAGUGACAUCCUCAUGGGGCAGUUUCUGUAUUCCUCUGACGGAUUUGGUGUAGCUGCAACACUGGACCAUGUCACCUCAUGUGCCUAACACCUUACAAGUUAUAAGGGAAAACAGCAUGUGUCUAAGGAGGCAGAGACUGGAAUGAUACAGCUGCAUGCUAAGAAGGCCAAGAAUUGCUGACCACCCACCUGAAGCUGGGGAAAAGCAAGAAAAGUCUCUACCCAGAGUCUCAGAAGAAGCACAGCCCCGCUGACACCUUGGUUUUGGAUAUCUAGCCUCCAGAACUGUGAGAAAAUAAAUUUUUGUUGUUUUAAGCCCCAAGGUUUGUGGUAAUACAGGGACUUAAUACAGUACAUAGUCAGGUACUCCCUAGCUCUGAACAUCAAAAGAGUCUAGAAACAAUGACAUUCCAGUAGCAAUGAACAU